GCGGCGCUGGCAGUCUAGCGACUGCGCCUGCAUGACGAGCAGGAGGAGGCAGGUGCGAUCCCUGCGCGCCGCA
rnacentral:tRNA from 1 species